CCUUUACAGUAACGAACACUCUCUCAAUAAGAAACUGAGCAAUCCAACCGAAACCCCUGCACUUCUUCUCCAAUGCCGCUACUCUCCUCUCUCUUCUUCUCCAUUCCUCAUUCCUUCAUCCCUCAAACUCGAACCCUAACUCUAACCCUAUAUUUCGUAUUCCGUCAAGAACCCUAACCCUAAUUUCAUCCACAAAAACCCUUCUGAGAAAGCUAAACUCACCACUGAACCUCCGCCGCCUUCAGAAAAGAAGUCUCUUGCAGUGGCCACCGACGAUCUCUUCCUUUGGUGAUUGCUAAUUGGUUUGACAAAUGAUCGAUGGAGGUUGCAGGGAUCUUUCUCGGGCCGAUCCUUGAGAUGCUCGUGGUGUUAAGGGAGGAACUCAUCGACUUGUUUACGAUUAGGAUGAUUUUCUCCAUGAUGUGGUUACUCAAAUUUUGUGACUCGGGGCAGAAUUUCAAGGUAGCACCACUCCUCCUAGUGUGGGUGGCUAUGGCAGCUCUCAUCGGUGUUAUCCAUAUUCCAUCAGUUGAGAAAACUAGCUGUGUAUCUCAGGUGCUAGGCACGUGCCCUGUCAGCUCACACAAUCCCAGAAGGUUUGUCAGAUUAAACAAUUGUCUCAGCAGCUCAGGUGCUGCAGUUUUUGAAAUCUGAGGGUAAACUUGCCUUUUAUAGAAGGGCAGCUGGGUGAAGGGUAGUGUGAUCAUUUAAUGCCUACAACGGUCUGAUUAUCCUCUGCAGCAGCAUUUGGUCUAUAUAUUGUAUUUGCUGCUGCAGAGAACUGUGUGUAUUGAAUUUUGAAAUUCUGAGAGAAGCUUGAGGAGUGACUGCAUCUUUACUGUGUUGAGAGUAUUUCUAAAAUUCUGGAGAGCUUAUUGAAGAUAUGACAAUGCCAAAAUACAUUGUUGAUAGUGAGGAUUGAAGCUCAGCAGAAAAUACUGUGCUAAGCUGCAGAUUUUAGUCACAGCUUCUUUCAAGACCAUGAGGUGAAAUCUUUCUUCAUAUCUGGUCUUUUGAGUCACUUUCUGGGCUAAGCAAUUCACAAAUCUCAUUCUAAGCCUAGUCCGGGGCUACACCAGUAAAAGCUAAGGCUGCAUCAAAAUCUCACCAAGUAAACCUAGCCAUUAGUGUCUAUUUGCUGCUAUUAAGCCUCAGAUGAAGCUGUCAAGGGUUCCACAUACAAAUCUGAGUCCCAUCUUGAUGUGAGCAUGUGUAAAUCAUCAAUGCAUAGCUGUUAAAUCCAUCAUCAAGAAGCAACUGAGGCUGUCUCAUGUUCUCACUACUCAAACCUCAGAUUGCAGUAACAGCAGCUGCAGGUUCGCUGUUUUCGAGCAAUGCAAAAGCAUCUAUAGAUUGAUUUCAAUGAGCCAAUCCCAAUUUGUUACUCAAUCUCAGGGCGUUCUUAUUUCAACAGUCAUUUCGGCUACUUCUGCAGCUAGCUGCUGUAAAUGAAACUAUUAUCCGACUGUCUCACACUUUUUGGGACAUCUCAAUGAAUAUCUUUCUGUGUCAGAUUUUGCAGAAAUUAAAGGAAGUGAAUUUCGCUUCUUAUUAAUGAACUAUCUAAAUAUUAUUUCAUCUCGAGGCUUCAGAAUAAGAUUGUUGUAACUUCGAGUCUGUUAUAACUGGAAUAUCUUAUGGGAGAUUUUCUAGUCACCAUUGAUAUGAACUUGAAAUUGUCGUAAUACAGGAGUUGACAGAAUAUGUGAGAAUCAGGCUGCCAUUUCAUGAUUUUAAAGUCCUUUCAAAAAAAUGGGCAACCCCAAUAACAAUUCUUGUAUAUUCAGCGAAUUUUGACAA